AUGCGGAGCACUGGAAUGCGGAGUACAAUUCUAUUACUCAAGUCCAGAGGAUCUCGUCAGCUUACACUGAACCUGUAUAUUUCUUUGGUAAAAAAAAGAGGAUGUCCUGCUUUUCUUUGGACAGUACAAUUCUAUUACUCAAGUCCAGAGGAUGAUGUAUCUGGACAGUGGGUGCGUAAUACAGUGCCAAAUCUGUUUGCUUUGCCUGAUAUAAUAAACCUUAUUUUCAGUCUUCAGAUUAUCCACCUGGUAUUCUAUUUAGCUAUAUGGUUGUUGCAAGAGUCUUUCAAGAGUCUGGCCUUGCCGGCUUUACGCACCACACAAUUUUACCACGGUCCUGUUAAGUCCCGUGACUUCAGAUUAUCCACACAAUUCUGUUUGUUUCCCCUUGUGUGA
rnacentral:rRNA from 1 species